rnacentral:lncRNA from 1 species
UGGCACCGGGUCAGUGUCACCGUCACCCAGUGAGGGACAUUGGGGACAUCGGGGAUCCCUGGAGAUCAAUGGGAUCUGUGGGACCUAAAGGGUUCCAUGGCUUCAAAGAGUCCUAGAGACCCCAAAAUGUCCUACAGACCCUGAAAUGUCCUAGAGACCCCAAAGUGUUCUAUGGACCUCAAUGGGUUCCAUGGUCCCAAAAUGUCCUAGAGACCCCAAAAUGUCCUAUAGGCCCUAAAAUGUCCUAGAGACCUCAAUGGGUUCCAUGACCCCAAAAUGUCCUAGAGACCCCAAAAUGUCCUACAGACCCCAAAAUGUCCUAUAGGCCCUAAAAUGUCCUAGAGACCCCAAAAUGCCCUACAGACCCCAAAAGAUCCUGCAGACCCCAAAGAUCCUGCAGACCCCAAAGUGCCCUACAGACCCCAAUGGGUUCCAUGGCCCCAAAAUGUCCUAUAGGCCCUAAAAUGUCCUAGAGACCCCAAAAUAUCCUACAGACCCCAAAGUGCCCUACAGACCCCAAUGGGUCCCAUGGCCCCAAAAUGUCCUAUAGGCCCUAAAAUGUCCUAGAGACCCCAAAGAUCCUGCAGACCCCAAAGUGUCCUAUGGACCUCAAUGGAUUCCAUGGCCCCAAAAUGUCCUACAGACCCCAAAAUGUCCUACAGACCCCAAAGUGUCCUACAGACCCCAAAGUGUCCUACAGACCCCAAAGUGCCCUACAGACCCCAAUGGGUUCCAUGGUCCCAAAAUGUCCUAGAGACCCCAAAAUGUCCUAGAGACCCCAAUGGGUUCCAUGGCCCCAAAAUGUCCUACAGACCCCAAAAUGUCCUACAGACCCCAAAAUGUCCUGCACACCCCAAUGGGUUCCAUGGCCCCAAAAUAUCCUACAGACCCAAAAAUGUCUUAUGGACCCCAAUGGGUUCCAUGGCCCCAAAAUAUCCUACAGACCCAAAAAUGUCUUAUGGACCCCAAUGGGUUCUACAGACCCCAAAUCAUCCUACAGACCCCAAUGGAUUCCAUGGCCCCAAAAUAUUCUGCAGGCCCCAAUGGGUUCUGCAGCCCCCCAGCUUCUAUUGACCCCAAAAGGUUCCACAGACCCCAAAAAGAUUUUAUGAACCCCAGAAGGUUCCACAGACCCCAAAAGGACUUUACGACCCCCAAAAAAGAUUUUAUAGACCCCGAAGAAUCCACAGACCACAAAAGGUUUUUAUGGCCUCCUCAAAGGAUUUUAUGGCUUCCUAAAAGAUUUUAUGGACUCAAAAAGAUUUUAUGGACUCCAAAAGAUUUUAUGGACUCCAGAGGAUUUUUAUGAACCCCAAAGGGUUCCGGUGACCCCAAAGAUUUCUGCGGCCCCGAAGGAUCCUGCGGGUUCCUGCAGCCCCACAGCUCGAAGGUCAGCAGGGUUUUAUGGCCCCCACACUUUUAUGGCCCCCACACUUUUAUGGCCCCCACAGUUUUAUGGCCCCCACAUUUUUAUGGCCCCCACACUUUUAUGGCCUCAGGGUUUUAUGGCCGUGGGGAUUUAUGGCCCCGGUUUUACACCCCGAUGUGUGAAAGUGCCUCCUGCCAUAAAGAUUUGGGAACUUUUAUGGGUUCGGUGCCUUCCUGGG